rnacentral:rRNA from 1 species
UACGUAGGGGGCGAGCGUUGUCCGGAAUUAUUGGGCGUAAAGAGCGUGUAGGCGGUCCGGUAAGUCCGCUGUGAAAGUCCAGGGCUCAACCCUGGAAUGCCGGUGGAUACUGCCGGGCUAGAGUCCGGAAGAGGCGAGUGGAAUUCCUGGUGUAGCGGUGAAAUGCGCAGAUAUCAGGAGGAACACCAAUGGCGAAGGCAGCACUCUGGGACGUGACUGACGCUGAGACGCGAAAGCGUGGGGAGCAAACAGG